UUUCAAAUGAAUUGACGGGGGCCCGCACAAGCGGUGGAGCAUGUGGUUUAAUUCGAAGCAACGCGAAGAACCUUACCAAAUCUUGACAUCCUCUGACCCCUCUAGAGAUAGAGUUUUCCCCUUCGGGGGACAGAGUGACAGGUGGUGCAUGGUUGUCGUCAGCUCGUGUCGUGAGAUGUUGGGUUAAGUCCCGCAACGAGCGCAACCCUUAAGCUUAGUUGCCAUCAUUAAGUUGGGCACUUUAAGUUGACUGCCGGUGACAAACCGGAGGAAGGUGGGGAUGACGUCAAAUCAUCAUGCCCCUUAUGAUUUGGGCUACACACGUGCUACAAUGGACAAUACAAAGGGCAGCGAAACCGCGAGGUCAAGCAAAUCCCAUAAAGUUGUUCUCAGUUCGGAUUGUAGUCUGCAACUCGACUAUAUGAAGC
rnacentral:rRNA from 1 species